GAUGAACGCUAGCUACAGGCUUAACACAUGCAAGUCGAGGGGAAACGAUAGAGAAAGCUUGCUUUUUCUAGGCGUCGACCGGCGCACGGGUGAGUAACGCGUAUCCAACCUGCCCACCACUUGGGGAUAACCUUGCGAAAGUAAGACUAAUACCCAAUGACGUCUCUAGAAGACAUCUGAAAGAGAUUAAAGAUUUAUCGGUGAUGGAUGGGGAUGCGUCUGAUUAGCUUGUUGCGGGGUAACGGCCCACCAAGGCGACGAUCAGUAGGGGUUCUGAGAGGAAGGUCCCCCACAUUGGAACUGAGACACGGUCCAAAACUCCUACGGGAGGCAGCAGUGAGGAAUAUUGGGUCAAAUGGACGAGAGUCUGAACCAGCCAAGUAGCGUGAAGGAUGACUGCCCUAUGGGUUGUAAACUUCUUUUAUAAGGGAAUAAAGUGAGUCUCGUGAGACUUUUUGCAUGUACCUUAUGAUAAGGACCGGCUAAUUCCGUGCCAGCAG
rnacentral:rRNA from 1 species